rnacentral:tRNA from 1 species
GAGUUGGAAGUUUAGUGGUAGAAUGCUUGCCUCGCAUGCAGUAGGUCAUAGGUUCAAUCCUCACCACUUUA